UACGUAGGGUGCGAGCGUUGUCCGGAAUUACUGGGCGUAAAGAGCUCGUAGGCGGCUUGUUGCGUCGUCCGUGAAAACUUGUGGCUUAACCACAGGCUGGCGGUCGAUACGGGCAGGCUGGAGUUCGGUAGGGGAGACUGGAAUUCCCGGUGUAGCGGUGAAAUGCGCAGAUAUCGGGAGGAACACCUAUGGCGAAGGCAGCUCGCUGGGACGUUACUGACGCUGAGACGCGAAAGCGUGGGGAGCAAACAGG
rnacentral:rRNA from 1 species